rnacentral:rRNA from 1 species
UACGUAGGGGGCAAGCGUUGUCCGGAAUUAUUGGGCGUAAAGAGCGCGUAGGCGGUCCGAUAAGUCGGCUGUGAAAGUCAGGGGCUCAACCCUUGAAAGCCGGCCGAUACUGUCGGACUAGAGUCCGGAAGAGGCAAGUGGAAUUCCCGGUGUAGCGGUGAAAUGCGCAGAUAUCGGGAGGAACACCAGUGGCGAAGGCGACUACCUGGCCUGUUCUUGACGCUGAGGCGCGAAAGCUAGGGGAGCGAACAGG